CCUACGGGCGGCUGCAGUGGGGAAUAUUGGACAAUGGGGGCAACCCUGAUCCAGCCAUGCCGCGUGUGUGAAGAAGGCCCUCGGGUUGUAAAGCACUUUCAGUGAGGAAGAACGCCUGGUGGUUAAUACCCAUCAGGAAAGACAUCACUCACAGAAGAAGCACCGGCUAACUCCGUGCCAGCAGCCGCGGUAAUACGGAGGGGGCGAGCGUUAAUCGGAAUUACUGGGCGUAAAGCGCGCGUAGGUGGCUUGAUAAGCCGGUUGUGAAAGCCCCGGGCUCAACCUGGGAACGGCAUCCGGAACUGUCAAGCUAGAGUGCAGGAGAGGAAGGUAGAAUUCCCGGUGUAGCGGUGAAAUGCGUAGAGAUCGGGAGGAAUACCAGUGGCGAAGGCGGCCUUCUGGACUGACACUGACACUGAGGUGCGAAAGCGUGGGUAGCAAACAGGAUUAGAUACCCUUGUAGUC
rnacentral:rRNA from 1 species